UACGUAGGGUCCGAGCGUUUGUCCGGAAUUAUUGGGCGUAAAGAGCUCGUAGGCGGUUUGUCGCGUCUGCUGUGAAAAUCCGGGGCUCAACCCCGGACUUGCAGUGGGUACGGGCAGACUAGAGUGUGGUAGGGGAGACUGGAAUUCCUGGUGUAGCGGUGAAAUGCGCAGAUAUCAGGAGGAACACCGAUGGCGAAGGCAGGUCUCUGGGCCACUACUGACGCUGAGAAGCGAAAGCAUGGGGAGCGAGCAGG
rnacentral:rRNA from 1 species